rnacentral:tRNA from 1 species
AUUUUCAUAAUAUAAAUAUUAUAUUUAACUUCCAAUUAAAAAAUCUAAUUAAAUUUAGUGAAAAUA